UUGUUGAUCAUGUGGAUUUAUUCUGCAGCUUAUACAACUGGUGGGAGGGUUUUGGGUCUUCUUCCUUAGUCACAGCGCCCCUGGGUUUCAAUUGUGGUUUUAUUUCCACCUCUGCAUGUGGGUCCUCCACUGAGGUUUGCUCCUGCAGCUGCCCUGGAGGACUUGGCUUUGCCCCUAUGAGGGCCAGGUGUGGAGGUGGUGCAGCUGCUUGGGUCACAAGGGUUCUGGCAGCACCAGGUACUCAGGGGAGUUUGCAGCUAGGGCAGCAGGAAAUAUAGUGCUCUUGAAGGUUAUGGCGAGCAGUAUCAGCCAAUAUGCUCCAGCAUUCUUGCCUGGAGAACCCCUCUCCCUGACAGAGCAGUCUGGCAGGCUACAGGCCACAGGGGUGCAAAGAGCCAGUCGGAUACGACUGAAGCAACCCUGCACGCAUAGAUGCAAGACAUUUUUUUGCCUGUAGCAGCUCUGCCCCAGUGAGAGCUGAGUGUGAAAGUGGUGCAGCUGCUUGGCUUUUGGGGACCCUGGCGGUGCCAAGUGCACAGGACAUGGACUGCCUCCACCACAAGAGUUAUGGCGCCAUCAGAGUCUUUUUUCAAGCCUCUUGUUGCUGUCGAUCAGAAGCCCUCUUUGGCCAGUCUUUCUCUGUAGCUCUGCCGGUUCAGGAGAGUUUCCUUGUCUGGGGUCCGUCUCUGUUUUUCCGCGUGUCAGGCACACAAAGGGGGCCCCCCUGCCUGGGGUCCUACUCUGUAGAUGGGUGCAUCAAGCACUUAAGGGAGCACCCUGGGUGGGGUCCUACUCUGUACUUCAGUGCAUCAGGCAUUUGUCGGGGCAGCCUCUCUAUUGUUCAGCUACCAAUGCUGGCGUGUGGGGAGAGAGUGGCUAUGGUGAUGAUUCCACCCGCUACGGUGACUCAGCAGUAUCGCCUUGCUUCCAUGGCGGCCCGGCUUUCUUCCACAGGCAUUUCCCACCACAAUCUCCUCCCUCACAUCCCUUCAAUCCAUCUCUCCGCAGUCAACAGCAGCCCUCACUCCACAGGAAGUAGGAUUGCUCCACAAUCCCUAAACUCCAGCUCCCAGCUGCUACACCUUCCAGGGGAUCCGCGACUCUGUCCUGGAUAUGCAUGGCUGUGGAAGGACUGAUUCUCAUCCCAUUUAGGCUGCCAC
ensembl:lncRNA